UGCAGAGGGUGCGAGCGUUAAUCGGAAUUACUGGGCGUAAAGCGUGCGUAGACGGUUAUUUAAGUCGGGUGUGAAAGCCCCGGGCUCAACCUGGGAAUUGCAUUCGAGACUGAAUAGCUAGGGUACGGUAGAGGGAAGCGGAAUUUCCGGUGUAGCGGUGAAAUGCGUAGAUAUCGGAAGGAACAUCAGUGGCGAAAGCGGCUUCCUGGACCAGUACCGACGUUCAGGCACGAAAGCGUGGGGAGCAAACAGG
rnacentral:rRNA from 1 species